GACGAACGCUGGCGGCGUGCUUAACACAUGCAAGUCGAACGGAAAGGCCCUGCUUUUGUGGGGUGCUCGAGUGGCGAACGGGUGAGUAACACGUGAGUAACCUGCCCUUGACUUUGGGAUAACUUCAGGAAACUGGGGCUAAUACCGGAUAGGAGCUCCUGCUGCAUGGUGGGGGUUGGAAAGUUUCGGCGGUUGGGGAUGGACUCGCGGCUUAUCAGCUUGUUGGUUGGGUAGUGGCUUACCAAGGCUUUGACGGGUAGCCGGCCUGAGAGGGUGACCGGCGACAUUGAGACUGAGAUACGGCCGAGACUGCUACGGGAGGCAGCAGUGGGGAAUAUUGCACAAGGGGCGGAAGGCUGAUGCAGCAACGCCGCGUGCGGGAUGACGGCCUUCGGGUUGUAAAACGCUUUCGCCUGUGACGAAGCGUGAGUGACGGUAAUGGGUAAAGAAGCACCGGCUAACUACGUG
rnacentral:rRNA from 1 species